UACAGAGGUCUCGAGCGUUGUUCGGAUUCAUUGGGCGUAAAGGGCUCGUAGGCGGUUUGUCGCGUCGGGAGUGAAAACCUACAGCUUAACUGUGGGCUUGCUUUCGAUACGGGCAGACUAGAGGUAUGCAGGGGAGAACGGAAUUCCUGGUGUAGCGGUGAAAUGCGCAGAUAUCAGGAGGAACACCGGUGGCGAAGGCGGUUCUCUGGGCAUGAUCUGACGCUGAGGAGCGAAAGUGUGGGGAGCGAACAGG
rnacentral:rRNA from 1 species